UGGAGCCUGCGGCUUAAUUUGACUCAACACGUGGAAUCUCACCAGGUCCGGACAUAGUAAGGAUUGACAGAUUGAGAGCUCUUUCUCGAUUCUAUGGAUGGUGGUGCAUGGCCGUUCUUAGUUGGUGGAGCGAUUUGUCAGGUUAAUUCCGAUAACGAACGAGACUCUAGCCUGCAAACUAGAGACCCCUCACAUAGUGAGCGGGUAUACUUCUUUGAGGGACAAUCGGCUUUUAGUCGAACGAGAAAGAGCAAUAACAGGUCUGUGAUGCCCUUAGAUGUUCUGGGCCGCACGCGCGCUACACUGAAAGAUACAACGGGUAUCUCACUUUGCUCGGAAGAGUUGAGUAACCCUGCAGCGUCUUUCGUGCCAGGGAUCGGGGAUUGCAAUUAUUUCCCGUGAACGAGGAAUUCCCAGUAAGCGCGAGUCAUCAGCUCGCGUUGAUUACGUCCCUGCCCUUUGUACACACCGCCCGUCGCUACUACCGAUUGGAUUAGUACGUGAGGAGUUUGGACCUAGUCGAGUACCGGGGGUUUCGGCUCUUGGUUUCGGCCGGGAAAGAACGCCAAAUGUAUUUGUCUA
rnacentral:rRNA from 1 species